UAUAUAUUUGUUGUUAGUUUUUUAAUGGAAAAAAUGUGACAAACUAAAUAAUUAAAUACGAACUAAAAACAAUAAAAUUCAACGUUUCUUUGCAAAAAUACGAUUUCAAACAGCGAAAGAAAUAUUUAAGUGUGCUAAGUGGCACUGAAGUGAAAGGAUUUGCGGAGCAAGUACAAUGUUAAUUUCCACUCACCUUUCUAAAUCUACUUUCUGUGCUCCGAAACGCAACAAUUAAAUCAACAGCAUUGCAAAUAAAUAAUUGUCACGACGACGAACGCAUGGCGAACACACACAAAACUUAUUAAAUAAAUAAUUAUAAAAACUUCGACAAAUCGCGUUUUGACCGCAAAAUCUUAUUCGAAGAAAUUUUACAAAACCGUUCAAACAAGCAAAACGACAAUAAAAAUAAAUUAAAAACACAACAAAUUUGCAACAAAGCAACGAAUUUAUUGUUGUAAUAUUUUUGACAAAUUUCUGUGCCGUGAAAAUUGUUCUAAUCUGCAAUUCAGAAUAGCGCUGAAAUGCUGAAGUGGGUUAGCACGGCGACGCGCCACAGCGCGUGGCUAUCCACAAAAAGAACAACAACAACGAAGAAUGCCAAAAAGUCAACAGCAGCAACAGUGAGUACAACAAAAACACCAGCGACAGCAGCACAAGCGCUGACCUCCAAAUCAAUAUCAAGCAAUUUCGCCAUGUGGCUGCUAACAACCGUGUGUAUAAUGGCCGCAUUAGUGCAGGUGACAAAUGGAUUUAAGCCAAUUGAUGUGAAUAACAGUGAAGGACGAAAACUCUUCGGCGGCUACCGGAUAACACCGAAGCAUUGUCGCGCCACAAAAACGUUAGCAGUGAGUGACUCACGUAGAAAUGGACCCACAAUCUGUAUGUUCAAUCACGAAUGUGCGCAACGCAAUGGCGAAGUGGUGGGCGCGUGUAUGGAUGGUUUCCUUUUUGGCGCGUGUUGUCAAAUACCCAGCGAACAGGAUCUCGAAACUACGCUGCUAAAUGAUGCACAAAACUCCUACUACCAACAACACCAACAGCAAAAGUUGCAAGAUGAAUAUGGCGGCGCCAAUCAAGCGGUGGCACAAUCUUACGAAACAUAUGGCGAGAACCAGCAACAACACACGCAAGAGACCAAAUAUAGUCCGCCAACUUUCAAGCCAAAGCCAAAGCCACAGCGCGUACAGAAACCACAACAACAACAGCAGCAGAAAUACAAACCACAAUUACCAAAACCCAUCUAUGGUAAUGUGGGGAAUACGGCUUCCGAAGAGGUUCAACCACCCGAGAACAGCUAUACGCAAACAAAUAUCGAUAAAGUCUUCCAGCAGUUGGAGAGUAGCAGUAACGCGGCCACUUCCUAUGAAGCACUGCAUACACAGCAAGAAGAUUCGCCCAAUAACAAGUACCAAUCGCAGGAAUCAGUGCCCAACACAAGCACAUUAUAUAUGAUGGAGUCGCUGGAAAGCGCACAACAGGAAUCUCUACCGUCAGUUGGACCCACUGCUUCAUUUUACGAGCAACCGCAAUCCAUGCAAGUGGAGAGUCAGCAAGCUGAUAGUCAACAGCAGGAGGAGGAAUUGCAUCAACAACAGCAGGAGAAAACACAAGAGCAGCAAAAACAACAGCAAGAAAAUCAAGCUAUUUUGUUUGAGGUCACAUCACAAUCCAAUUCAGGUAGUGCAGAUUCGAGCACGCAAUCUUCUAGCGUAGAAUUGGAAACGGACGCACAAAUGCAGCCAGAUUUAGUUGUUGCAAAUACCAAUAUUGUGCAUGUAUCGUUUACUACCGCAGCGCCACCAUUAAACGAUGACUUCGUUUUGGACCUGCUAAGCACAACAUUACCCCCACAAUUCGAAGAAGAGCCAGCCUCACUUACCACAACGGGUCUGCCAAUGCGCAUUGUGAAUGGACUCACUGAACCAAACAGUUCAUCGGAGUCAAACUCUUUUGAAGAGUUGCCAGUAACACAUAAUCCAGUGCAAAGCAACGACUGGGAAGCAAAUACCACAGAAGAAGAUUCGAAAACAGAGUCGCAAGAUCCUCAAACCGCCAAACCACAAUCCAAACCAAAACCAAAGCCACAACAACAAACCAAGAGACCACAAGUACAAAUGUUUCGGCCUCAACUACAAAGGAAACCGGGCAGACCACAACAAAACCAACAGUCACAACAGCAGAAGCAAAAACCGCAACAACAACAACAUAACCACAAUCACCUCUUACUUGACGGUGCUGAGUUCACACACAGCGACAUCACACAUCCCGGUGCCGAUGCCGACUUAAUCGAGGAUGACCUGCAAUUCUCAACUGGCUAUGGCCCACAACCGAUGUACAUGGAAGCACCUGUCCGUCAACCCUCGCCCAUCAGCUAUCAGCCUACAACAACAACGCAUACAUCAUUAGCGCCAGAAGACAAAUACAAUUUAGUACAGAGCGUCCACGAUGAGGCGGCGAGUAAAAGACCACCCACAUAUGGCGAGACUACAACGGGCACUUCCAUCACCACGCAUGUUGACUCCAUCGAAUCUAUAAUACUACAGUUGAAUGGCACCACAAACCAUGGGCCCACUUAUAAUAUUGUCAGUCAGCAACAACCACAAACGGCCGCUUAUGAUGCGAAACCCGAUGCGUCGGCAAGCAAAUAUGGACCAAACGAUAGUGGUCUACAUUAUGGCACAACUACACCUAUCACAACGGGUGAGUCAGUGUAUGGCGGUGCAACAACAAAUUAUUAUGACGAUGUGGAGACCAAACGUCCGGAUGAUUACUAUAGUGAAAGUGAACAAUCCAAUACGCCAAACUACUCACCCGUCACAGCGCAAGUACCCGCUUAUUUGGAGCCCGUGAGCACUGACCUACAUCCCUCACAACAACAGCCUGAACAUUCGUACGUGUCGAAGCCUGUCACACACGAGGUACAUAGCGCAACAACCGCUGUCAACUAUGCGGAAGAUGCUGCCGCUGCGCAAGAUGAACACACGAUGCCGGCAAAUAAUUAUAACGAUGUACUGCAAGCGUCAUCACACCAAACGCACGAGUUUAAUAAAAUGCCCGCGCUCGGUAUUGCGUAUCCAGUUGAUAUGUCACAUAUGGAGGAAGAGGGUAGCUUUGCACCAGAUAUUGCAAACAAUUACGGUCAUAAGCAACAUGCAACCACGCAGGGCACAAUCGACAAAAUAGAUGAAGCAGAAACAGCAGACUCUAGCUAUGCGCAGGUACCAAUUAUUAGUGGGAAACCACAACGUCCCGUAGCGCCAUACAACGGUAUGGUGAAUGUGCAGAAUUACAAUGGCGCCAAAUUGCCAACAACCGUUGUGUACAACGAUGUGCCUCAAGAAGUAUCUGUUUCUUCGCAUGCGACUAAAGUACAAGAUACACAAGCGCCUGCCGCGUCCUAUCAUACACCCAAACCAGACACCUUAACUACAAUCCAAUAUGUCGACGAAAGCACUGUCGCACAACGUCCAACAAUUAGCAAAACGACCGCGUCGGCCUAUUUGACUCCAACUACCACGCCGAUCCCACAACGUCCGCAAUAUAAUGCUGCAUCUGCUGUUACCUCAACAGCACGUCCUAUUUCCGGUAUAAUCACCUCAAGCGGUACCAGACCACGCCCUCGGCCACGCCCAAAACCGAGUACGACACGACCAAAUAACAAAAAGACGAAACCGAGUGCAGCAAAGAAACCGACCACAGCAAAGCCUUUGAGCAAUUACAGCCAGACACCAGCGCAACCUGCCAAUAAUUACGGCGGCGGUCAGGUACAAACAAAGAAACCAGCUGCACUACCUUCGAACAACUAUCAAGGUUCAAAUCAUAAUAACAAGAAACCAGCCACACAACCCUCUAACAGUUAUCAAGCGUCAAAUGUUAAUACAAAGAAACCAGCAGCGCAACUCUCGAGCGACUAUCAAGAACCCAACUACAAUACGAAGAAUCCGGCACAACAAGCAUCUAACACCUACAAUGACAACGCUGCAGAGAAUGGUUAUGCGCAGAGCCCAGUACAAGCCUCGCACGCCCAAACCCAACAACCUGCGAAGAAACCAUCGAAACAACCCACCAAACAAUCUGUGAAGCGGCCAGUGAAACAACCGGCCACCACCUACCAGCACAACAAGCCGACAUACGUAAAGCGUCCGACUGCAGCGCCACAGCUCAGCAAUAACAAUAGCGCGAAACCCGCUACAAACACCUACAAUGCAGAACCGGUUUAUCAGAGACCAGAGCAGCGACCCACUUACAAUGCAGAGCCUGUGACCAGGAAACCCGCAUACAAUGAUAAUGAGCAAACGAAUACUUAUGCUUCAACAACGGCGACACGUAAACCCAUCAGUCACACGGCAGCCAUCUACGAUGAUCAUGUGGAUGAACAAAAUGUGCCCGCUGAUGCCCAAUUGCCAACAGACAACUACGACACAUAUUCUCAGGAUACCAAACUAACUUCACAAGACUAUGGUCAAGAUUAUGACAAACCGGAUGCUGCUUACGAUCAAAAUCUUAAAGUACCACAACCAACUUUCGAAACGGACGCCUAUUAUCCAGCACCACAACCGUCCAACAACUUCAAUCAAGAACAUUUAGACAGCUCUACACAUCGACCCAUCAUUGUACGCAAACCAAGUGUAGAAAGCGCAGCACCAGCCAUAUCUCGUCCGACUACAACAUUUAUUUAUCACGACUCCGAGGUACCGCCAAUCGUAACUGCGGACGAUAAGCUGGACGUUUUUGUACAUGGUACUGUGCAGUCGCAAGUAUACGGCGGUGAUGCUAAGCCACAAUACGCCGAUCGUCCACAAUAUACAUACGUGCAUAAAAAACCAGGCUUCGUGAAGGUGACAUCAAAACCCAUAUCCACCACUAACGGUGUUAUUACACCCAAGCCAACGCUGUUCACACUCAUCACAAAUAGCGAUUGGCCGCAUAGACCGAGCAGCGCCGACACGAUCUUCGAUGAUAACGCAUUCCCACCAACAACGCCAUUGCCCGGCUUCAGCAGCACAUCAUAUAUUUAUAGUCCGGUAGUGACGCGACGUCCUAGCGUGGCUAUAAAUACGCCCGAAUACGUCAACCUAGCCGGUGUCACAACGAAUGACUUCGAUGAUCCAGGUUAUUAUGGUGCGCAGAAUGUCGGACAAAACGUUGCACAGAAUGGCGUACAUCCAGCCUUCACGCAAUCGAUCGCCGAUACAGAGUAUGGUGUGCCCUCCGAUGAUCGUCCUGCCUUCCCAGGCUACUAUGGUCCAACACCAACUUAUCCGCCUUUCGCCAUACCUGGUGAAAAACUUGGGGCGCCAGUUGAGGAGGAAACCUACACAUCACCCAAUGACUUUGUGAACUUCCCACCUGUACGUAAUCCCAACCUUAACAUGUCGGCAACAUCGAGCGCCGUCACCACCGAUUUGGAACUCUCGACACCCGCCUUCGUCGAAGAUGGUGUUUUGAAGGAUAAAAUGAAUACUUUAGUACAUAAGAUUGUCGAAUCACUGCAGGGUAACUUCGACGCGCUGGCAGAUAUGAUUGACGAAACAAAUAAUACCGCACCAGCUGGACCACCAUCCACAUAUCAAGCCGCCGGCGCAAACGCUGGUAGCGCGGCUACGACACGCAAACCCACAAGAAAACCAACACGUAUAGCCACACAGAAACCGACCACCAGGCGACCUGCAAUACGUGUCACCACCAAACAACCGACACGUCGACCAGCAAUCACCACCAGACGUCCGGCUACGAGACGUCCCACAACAACCACACGACGACCAACUACGCGCAAGCCGACACGUCGUUUAACAACCACAACAACAACGCAGGCACCAGCCCAAGAUGAAUUGGUUGACGAAGAGGACGAAGAAGAUGUUAAUCCAUUAGAUAAUGAGAUCGGUGACCAGGAUGAAGUUUACGCUGGUGCUGGUGGACGCAAAUUUAUGCGUCUGUUCAACCAAAUAUAUGCCCUCCUUUAAAACAAGCCUCCAUUUAAAGAAUAUUUCAUAAACGAAUUCCCAUCCUUCUUUGAAAAAAAUAUUCCCAAUAAACUUAAAAAUCCAACCCUUAUAAGCUCAUCAAUUUUUACUUUCCCCACUUUAACCUCACUUAUCAGCUCCAACAUUUUUUUACCAACUUCGCCAUAUCAUCUCUUAUACUUGCCCUCUUAAACUUGCCUCUGUUUGAACCAAACUCAAUCGCAAAAAAAUUCUCUUGCCUACUUCACCUAUUUCACCGUGCUCAUCUCAUUUCACCUCCUCCAACUACAUACAGUCCGAAGAUAUGUCAUUCAAGUUUCUCCCCGUGAAACUCAAUCUUAAUUCUCAAGUUCAUUGAAAUUUUUCAAAACUUAAGCAGUUCCACAAUUAUCACAAAGCAUUUUCAUCCACCAAAACACCUUCACCAUUACCAAUAUCCACCUCGGCAUCAUAACAGUUAAUCAAUCGCAUCACCAUCCACCACCGACCAGCGUCACCUCGCAAAACACUCAUCUAUGCUGUUGCUAUACUCUCCCUUACCUCCUAACCUCACAUUUCACUCCCCAUCGACAGAAUGCGGCGUACGGCCACACAUCAAAUCUGGCAGAAUUGUAGGCGGCAAAGGUUCCACAUUCGGCGCUUACCCAUGGCAAGUGCUCGUACGUGAAUCCACAUGGUUGGGACUUUUUACCAAGAACAAAUGUGGCGGUGUUUUGAUAACGAAUCGUUAUGUCAUCACAGCGGCGCAUUGUCAGCCAGGUUUCCUGGCCUCAUUAGUCGCUGUUAUGGGUGAGUUUGAUAUCUCAGGCGAUUUGGAGAGUAAACGUGCUGUUACGAAGAAUGUGAAACGUGUCAUUGUUCAUCGUCAAUACGAUCCUGCGACUUUCGAAAAUGAUUUGGCGUUGCUUGAGCUUGAGAGCCCAGUACAAUUUGACACACAUAUUGUGCCAAUUUGUAUGCCCAACGAUCUAGCAGACUUCACCGGUCGCAUGGCGACAGUCACCGGUUGGGGACGUCUCAAGUAUGGCGGCGGCGUGCCCUCUGUUUUGCAGGAAGUUCAGGUGCCAAUAAUUGAGAACAGCGUCUGUCAGGAGAUGUUCCACACGGCGGGACACAACAAAAAGAUUCUGGGCUCAUUCCUGUGUGCCGGCUAUGCAAAUGGGCAAAAGGACUCGUGUGAGGGUGACAGCGGUGGUCCAUUGGUGCUGCAGCGACCCGACGGUCGUUACGAAUUAGCCGGCACUGUAUCGCACGGUAUCAAAUGUGCGGCGCCAUAUCUGCCCGGUGUAUAUAUGCGUACGACAUUCUACAAACCGUGGCUGCGAAGCAUAACGGGUGUCAAAUAAAUAACGUGCACAGCGAAAAGCAACACUCGAGCAACAAAAACAAAAGUACAUAAAGCAACGCAAUAGCAAUAACAAUACCAACAUUGUCAUUAUACAUAUUAAAUACAGUUAGCUAGGUAUAUAAAAACGAAUAUAAUUAUGGUACAUAAGUAUAUAAGUGCGUGUAAACAGCGCACAACAACAACCAUAGUAAAUAUAAAGUUAGUGAAAAUUAUGUGUACGAAAAAAAACAGAAAAAUGUAUGUAAAAAUGUGAACAUAGCGAAAAUGUAAAAAGCAAACAAAGAAAAUGUGUGCAAAAUGAGAUUUAAAAGUUGGCGAAAAGCAAGCGUCGAAAUGAAUAUGCCGUUGUAAGUCGAGAAAAUACACACAUACACAGCAGCGAGCGCGCGAAAUGAGAAAUAGCGCAAAAAUUCAGUUAUACAAAACGAAGAAAAAUUAUUAAUGGAAUUAUGUUUAGACGGUUGAAAGGUGUACCUUCUCACAUACAUAAAUACUGCACGGUAGCGAAAUUUACAUUUUUCACAGUUUAAGAUUUUUUACACCUGCUUUUCGCGCAUAAUGUUCAAAGCUUGUAAAAAAGCCUGUGCUCCCAAAAUAGCUACCGUUAAUAUGUCUCUUGUCAGGUCAGCGCCUGCGGGUAUGCAGUGUUUUAUUUUUUUUUUUUGUUACCUUAAUGAAAGCCCGUAGCUUUGGCGCUCACGCAAUUUUCCACUUAAAUCUAUGCUAUACAAUGAUUACAGGUAUUGUUUUCAUUUAAUAGCAUACUUUUUGGCGCAAUGCACAGCAUUCGGCGACACUUGAGAGCAAACGCAGCGCAUUAUAUUUAUAGAAAUCGCAGCAUUUUCAACAACAACAAAAUUUUAGAUAAUUUUCCAACUGGGGCUUGGGUGGGUUAAGAGAAAUUGCGUGUAAUUUCAUAGCUAAAAUGCAAUAAAAAAAUUGUGCCUAAUUAGUCUGAAUGUUUAAACGCAAUUUGAUGUUUUGUCUUAGUGUUAAAGUAAUUUUACGCAAUUGAAGCAACAAAAACAUAUAAAUAUUAUAUUGUUAGUUAAUUUUACAAACACAAAUUGUAUGAAGUAGCAAGCAGGCGUUGAGUUAUUUAUAAUUUAUUUUUACACUAAAAUAUUUAUUGCAUACUUUUAAGCGCCCAAACUAUUUAUUGAAUUAUUUAUUUAUGAGUCUAUAAUUUAUUUAGGCAUUUCUAAAAUAAUAUUUAUUUGACAAA